rnacentral:tRNA from 1 species
CGAGAUCUAGCUUAACGGCGAGAGCACGUGCUUCGGACGCACGGGGGUCUCGGUUCGACUCCGAGGGUCUCGACCA